GAUCCUGGCUCAGGAUGAACGCUGGCGGCGUGCCUAACACAUGCAAGUCGAACGAAGCAAUCGGAAUGAAGUUUUCGGAUGGAUUUCUGGUUGACUGAGUGGCGGACGGGUGAGUAACGCGUGGAUAACCUGCCUCACACUGGGGGAUAACAGUUAGAAAUGGCUGCUAAUACCGCAUAAGCGCACAGUACUACAUGGUACGGUGUGAAAAACUCCGGUGGUGUGAGAUGGAUCCG
rnacentral:rRNA from 1 species